UUGCUGGGUUUGGUAGCACAGAUACUAAAACUGAAGUGAGACAGAAGAUUAGCAUGGCCCCUGUGCAAGGAUGACACAUAGAUUGGGGUUGCAUGCUGUAUUCCU
ensembl:snRNA U6 U6 spliceosomal RNA